UACGUAGGGUGCGAGCGUUAACCGGAAUUACUGGGCGUAAAGUGUGCGCAGGCGGCAGAGCAAGUCGAGUGUGAAAUCCCCGGGCUCAACCCGGGAACUGCGUCCGAUACUGGAAGGCUUGAAUCCGGGAGAGGGAUGCGGAAUUCCAGGUGUAGCGGUGAAAUGCGUAGAUAUCUGGAGGAACACCGGUGGCGAAGGCGGCAUCCUGGACCGGUAUUGACGCUGAGGCGCGAAAGCCAGGGGAGCAAACGGG
rnacentral:rRNA from 1 species